rnacentral:rRNA from 1 species
UGGGGAAUAUUGGACAAUGGGCGAAAGCCUGAUCCAGCCAUGCCGCGUGUGUGAAGAAGGUCUUCGGAUUGUAAAGCACUUUAAGUUGGGAGGAAGGGCAGUAAGCGAAUACCUUGCUGUUUUGACGUUACCGACAGAAUAAGCACCGGCUAACUCUGUGCCAGCAGCCGCGGUAAUACAGAGGGUGCAAGCGUUAAUCGGAAUUACUGGGCGUAAAGCGCGCGUAGGUGGUUCGUUAAGUUGAAUGUGAAAGCCCCGGGCUCAACCUGGGAACUGCAUCAAAAACUGGCGAGCUAGAGUAGGGCAGAGGGUGGUGGAAUUUCCUGUGUAGCGGUGAAAUGCGUAGAUAUAGGAAGGAAAACCAGUGGCGAAGGCGACCACCUGGGCUCAUACUGACACUGAGGUGCGAAAGCGUGGGGAGCAAACAGG